AGUGAACGCUGGCGGCGUGCCUAAUACAUGCAAGUCGAACGGAGUGGCGCACGGGCGAGUAAUAUACAGCUAAUCUGCCCCUUGCUGGAGGACAACAGUCAGAAAUGACUGCUAAUACUUCAUAGAAAGGGAUGAGACUAUAUCGUAUCAGCAAGACGGUGGGGUAACGGCCUACCGAGGCUAUGACGCGUAACUGGUCUGAGAGGAUGAACAGUCACAUUGUAACUGAGACACGGGCCAAACUUCUACGGGAGGCAGCAGUAGGGAAUAUUGCGCAAUGGGGGAAACCCUGACGAAGCAACGCCGCGUGGAGGAUUACACGUUUCGGAGCGUAAAGUCCUUUUGUUAGGGAAGCGGUACCCAACGAAUAAGCACCGGCUAACUCCGUGCCAGCAGCCGCGGUAAUAC
rnacentral:rRNA from 1 species